rnacentral:rRNA from 1 species
CACGUAGGGCGCAAGCGUUGUCCGGAUUUAUUGGGCGUAAAGAGCGUGUAGGCGGCCAUACAGGUCCGUUGUGAAAACUCGAGGCUUAACCUCGAGACGUCGAUGGAAACCGUAUGGCUAGAGUCCGGAAGAGGAGAGUGGAAUUCCUGGUGUAGCGGUGAAAUGCGCAGAUAUCAGGAAGAACACCCGUGGCGAAGGCGGCUCUCUGGGACGGUACUGACGCUGAGACGCGAAAGCGUGGGGAGCGAACAGG